rnacentral:tRNA from 1 species
GGGGGUUUAGCCCAGCGGAAGGGCACCCGCCUGGCGCGCGCGAGACCCUGGGUUCAGUUCUCAGCCCUG